GUGCUCGCUUCGGCAGCACAUAUACGAAAAUUGGAAAGAUACAGAGAAGAUUAGCAUGGCCCCUGCACAAGGAUGCCAGGCAAAUUCAUGAAGCAUUCCAUAUUAAA
ensembl:snRNA U6 U6 spliceosomal RNA